CUGGAGUGGCGCUUGGAGGCUUUCAUGCUGGAGUGCCAACCACGCUUCGCACCGACAGCAGCUAGCCCUCAACCGUGCAGCACU
rnacentral:ribozyme from 1 species